rnacentral:lncRNA from 1 species
GCUGGCCACUCAGUAUUCCUUGUCCCUGGCCUUGCAGCCCACCCGGGAAGCCACAGUGACCAGCCACCAGGUGUGCCAUCGUGGAGGAAGUCCAGGUUGGAGAGGUGGUCUCCUUCUGUGAGCAGGUCCACUUCUCCACCCACUGAGGCCCCUUUCUGCCUGUGACAGCCCCACCUUGAGGGCCACGGCACAGCCAUCAGCUCCAGCUCCCAGCAUGCUACUGCCACGCCCCGUGUGUCCGUCUGGGCCCCGGUGCAUGACCUGUUGUCUUUCUAUAUCUACUUUCUGCAGCCCCUCACUGAGGAGGCCUCCUGGGUUUGUCCGGUGCCUGCUAUUAAAGCUUUGCUCCAAGUUCA